GCCCACUCAGUGCUGAGCACAGUGUAUGUGUGCACAUGCGUGUGCACAUGUGCGUGGGCUGGCCCAGCCUCCAGAGCACAGAUCCCAUUGCAGGAUCAUCGCCUCGCCUUGCAGACACCAUGGUCCCGUGGGCCUGCUGCCUGCUGGUGGGGCUGUGUGCCCUGCUCCCUCAUGCCACCCCCCAGCAGGACCCCCAUGGGGACCCUGAGCACUGCGGCAUCACUUUCCAUGCCCCAAACCCUUGCGGUCCACCCCGUGUGCCAUCCCCUCUUGCAUCCCGGGAGGAUCUGGAGCACCUGCAGAGCCUCCUGAAGCAGAACAAGGCCACGCUGCAGGAUGUGGAGGCGGCGGCAGUGCUGGAGGAACCCCAACCCCGGUACCAGGACGUGAUCAAUGAGGCACUGCCUGCAAUCCGUGGGGCCAACCAGGAAUUUGGGGAGAGCCUGGACAACGUGCGCAGGGAGCUGGAGGCUCACAUGGCCCAGAGCGAUCACCCGCAGGUGGUGGAGAAGAGGGAGAAGCUGCGCAAGGACAUCCGCCUGGUGGCCCAUGUGCUGAAUCUCACCUCCCACCUUGCCCACGUCCUUGACGCCUCCUCCCAGCGCCUCCAGGAUGAGCUGAGCCUCCGCCUGCAGCGCUCGGCCACCCGUGCUGCUGCUGCCCAGCCAUAGGACACAGCCUGAGCUCUGCCUUUGCCCUCCGUACAACCUCACUUGCUGAGCUCUGAGCCCCUUUGCUUCUCCCUGAACGUGCUAUGCCCAUGCAACCAUUUGCAGCCAGCCAAAAUCAGCCAAAAUCUGAGAAACAUGGAACAUCUCAAGCUGGAAGGGAGCCCCGAGGAUUACUGUGUGCAACCCCAAAAAUCCAAACGUGAUGCCUGUCUUCAUCCAUGCCGUUCCUUUCUACAAAUGAUCGCCGUCUCCUCUGGGGCAUGGAUGAUGAUGGGGUCGGGGAUGGGGAUGGGGAUUGGAUGGGAAUGGGCAUGGGGAUGGGGAUGGGGAGGAGAAUGGGGGAGGAUGGGGAUGGGGAUGGGAAUGGGAAUGGGGAUGGGGAUGGAGAUGGGGAUGGGGAUGGGGAUGGAGAUGGGGACGGAGAUGGGGACGGGGUGGGGGCGGGGGUGGGGGUGGGAUGGGGAUGGGGAUGGUGUGGCUGCACACACACAGGCAGAGAAGUGCUGGGUUGGAGCUGUGGGAGAUGAAUACAAGCAGCCCAGCAGUAAAUUGAAGCUGGCAACCAGAGUGCACUGAACCUACAGAGGGUUGGGCAUUAGGAAAAUAGCUAGAGGCAGAAAACUCUGAUCUGUUUAAACACAAGGAGGACACGUCCUGGACACACCAUCACAGGACCUGGGGGCACCAUAGGUGUGCACUGCACAACCCUGGGGCUGGGCAACAGGAACACCUCGGGCAACAGCAGUGACACAUCUCCAGGAGCUGCAGGCAGCACAAUAAAGAUGCAUUGUGCUCUGCCA
rnacentral:lncRNA from 1 species